GAUGAAGAACGUAGCGAAAUGCGAUACGUAAUGUGAAUUGCAGAAUUCAGUGAAUCAUCGAAUCUUUGAACGCACCUUGCGCCUUUUGGUAUUCCGAAAGGCACACCUGUUUGAGCGUCAUGAAUACCUCAAUCUCCAUCUUUUCUUCGGAUUGAUGGGUGACUUGGAUGUUGAGCCCUGCUGGUAUGCUAUAUCAGCUGGCUUUAAACUUAUUAGCCGGCUCUGUACUGGAUCGGUUUGACUCGACGUGAUAAUAUUAUCGUUGAGGAUGCAUGUCUCAUGCAGCCGGAAAGUAUCAAAGCAGCUUCUAGCUUGCCUUUAGUGCACUUUUACACUUUAGACCUCAGAUCAGGUGGGACUACCCGCUGAACUUAAGCAUAUCAAUAAGCGGAGGA
rnacentral:misc_RNA from 1 species